GACUCCGGGAUGCUUCACCUGUGGUGCUCACACAAAGCAAGUGUUCAUGUGUGGCAGGCACUGCUUUGUGCAAUCACACGGUUUCCUAACUCUUUCAAAGUGCUCAUUUUUCCCAGCUUAAUUUAUCUGUUGUACCCCCUGUGCUUAGCUGCACUGAAAGAGAACAAUCCUGGCAUAAACCACGAACAAUGGGUGUAAAACCAGGCCCCAUCAAUGCCAUGGUCAUCACAAAACCAGUAGCAAAUCGUACUACACAAGGUGGAGUGAGAAGUGGACUCAAUAGAGGGAUGGUGAGCCUUUGACCAGAUCCAUGCAUGUUUAGAGUUGAGGAGGCAUACGCAGUAUUCAACCUUGAGGACAAGCCACUUGUUACCACCAUGAACAUGUCACCUGACAAGCCACUUAUAGAAAGUGCAUUCGGGUUGGUCCAGGAAGGAAGAGUGUUGUCCAACCAGAAGCCUGUCUUAACAUCACGGUACAUCACACUACAUGAUGCCCCAUCAACUCCACCUUUGCCUCUUGAAGGACAUCAUCUUGCUCCAUCUAAAUGCAUGUUUGUUUGCACUGAGGAGGAGCUCUUACACCUUCAAAGUCUAAACACACCAUUAGAUAUGGCUAAGAAAAUUGAAGAGGCAACACUUGCGAGCAAAGCUCUUGUCCUGACUGGCAUCAGCUUCACAGAUCAAGAGUAACAGCUUCCAGGUUUCGGGAGAUAAGUCAUGUCAGAGGCCUGGGCUCUGCAGAGUCCCUCGCAGAGCGAAUCAUCAGAGGAAGCCGACAGACGGCAGAGAUGAGAAGAGUGCUGAAAUGGAGUCGGAGGUAACCGUGGAAUACAGCAAACUGAAAAAUGUUAACUACUCACCCUGUGGUUUAAUCAUCCAUCCAAAUGCUCCCUGGCUUGGUGCAUCCCCUGAUGGUGUGGUCUUUGAUCCAACUGACAGUCCUCAAUUUGGACUUGUUGAAAUUAAAUGUCCUAAUGUCAAAAACAUUAUUGACUGCAAAUAUAUGCAAAUGGACAAUGGGUUUCUCACCCUAAAAAAGGGCCAUGCAUACUAUUACCAAGUGCAGGGACAGCUACUGGUCUCAGGAAUGCAGUGGUGUGAUUUCAUGCUGUGGGCCCAGGAGGAUUAUUUUGUCCAGCGUAUCUACAGUGACACUUCAGUGCACAAAUUUAUUAGAGAGAA